UAUUCUCAACCUUCCUCACUUUUGUGACUGGAAGGCUUGGAUGUGGAGGUCGUGCGGGCUCUCGCGAGUCGGCUCCUCUGAAAUGCAUUAGCGUGAACGUUUACGGAUCGCUAUCAGUGUGAUAAUUAUCUGCGCUGUUAGUGUUGAAGUAUUGCUUAGUGUCGCGCUUCUAACCGUCCUUCAGUUGGACAACUUAUCUGAC
rnacentral:misc_RNA from 1 species